UAAUUAAAGGUCGACUGAACAUGAAUGAUAUUAUACAAUUUAAAGCGCAUUUCUGUUUAUGCACGCGAACCCGUCUAACGUUAUUGUUAUUUCGCAGUUAUAUAAAGUAGCAAAUUAUCGUUCCUGAAUAGGUGGCGCCGUGGUAGCCGAUCCUGUUCUUCAACUUCCGGGUUCUGCACUGUGCAACUAUUACAGUUGCAUUUUUAAUUAACGAUGCCAAGUACUUGUUGUUGUGUACCUGGAUGUCAUUUAAGAGGAGGACAUGCAUUUCCAAAUGACUUAAAAAGAAGGAAAAGUUGGAUCAACGCCAUGGCCCAUACGCAGAUUGGACGAGAACACGAUGAAAUCGUGGAGUCCAUCUCAAUCAGCUGUUGUUUGCAAGGCACAUUUUACUGAAAAAGACUACGUGCAGGAAACUAUUCAUGGGCGCAAACCAACCAUACAGAGACUUAAGUCUACUACUAUUCCCAGCCUAUUUUCCUGGACCAAGCAAGAAACUGAAUCAUCUGCAAAAAGAAAAAUCAGGGCAGUUUCCUGUGAAAACAAAAGAACUAAACUUGAUGAAUAUUGUAGUAGAAAUCUAGAGGAAAGUUUUGAUUGUAAAGUUGGUUUUCCUGAAGAAGUCAUUCAUACUGCAGACAGGAUUUAAGACUGUCCACCACCAACUGCCGAGCUAAUGUUGAGCUUCACAGAUGGAAUAACGCAAACACCAUCAAUGCCUAUAUUUUCAGCAGAGAAUUUUGAAAUGAAGACACGUGACACAGCCAUGCAUUUUUAUACCGGUUUAGAGUUGUAUACUAAAUUUUAUAUUGUUUUGACCACACUUGGUCGAGCAGCACAUUGUUUGAGAUACAUAUAUUUUCAAAUUGAUACAUGUAGGGUGUCAUUUGAAAAUCAGUUUUUUUUAUGACUUUGAUGAAAUUUAGGCAUUAUACAACCAACUUUGAACUGUCUAGAUUCUAGAUUGAAACUAGUGUUAAGAAUAUUGUGUAAACAUGGAUUGUUUUUAUGUCUAAACAGUGGCGUGAGGCUAACACUUGGCCAUUUAGUGGUUUAGUCAGGUAUUUUUCGCCAUCUAACUUCAAAUUAAAGUUUCCUACAACUUGGAUUAUUAUUGACAGCACAGAAUAUCCCGUGAUAAAACCUAAAGCUCCUAGAGCUCAGGCAACCUUUUCAUCAUAUAAAAACAGAAACACUGAAAAUACUUGUAUGUUCGACACCUGGUGGUUUAGUCAACUAUGUCUCUAAUGCAUAUGUUGGUUGUACCAGUGACUGUGAAAUAGUUGAAAGAUGUAGAAUAGUUCAAUUAUGUGAUCCAGGUGACAGUGUGAUGGCAGACAAAGGUUUAAAUGUGCAAGAUUUGUUUGCUCACUUUUUUCAAAAAAAGAAACAGAAUUAGUUCCAAAACUCUUAUACGGGAUAGAAAAGUCUCCAAUUAACAUGAUUAACACGUGCACAUAGAGCUAAUUAUUGGACUUGGCAAAACAUACAAAAUUCUAAUAAAUCCUAUGAAUGGAACUGAAACAAAACUUUCAUCUGAAAUAACAUUUAGUUGUUUUAUGUUGUGUAAUUUUAGAACUUGUAUUAUGCCAAAGGAUGCAUAAAUAAAAGUGACGCAAUGAA